AGCUGGUCAGAGAGGGCAGUGGUGUUUACAACUAAUUAAUCACCACCAGACACAGACUUCCUUGUUCCUCUUGCUCUCUCACUGCUUUACUUGACUAGCACAAA
ensembl:misc_RNA Y_RNA Y RNA